rnacentral:rRNA from 1 species
UACGGAGGGAGCGAACGUUGUUCGGAUUUACUGGGCGUAAAGGGCGUGUAGGCGGUUUGGCAAGUCAGGGGUGAAAUGCCUCGGCUCAACCGGGGACCUGCCUUUGAAACUGCCGAACUUGAGGCCGUAAGAGGAGACUGGAAUUCCUAGUGUAGCGGUGAAAUGCAUAGAUAUUAGGAAGAACACCAGUGGCGAAGGCGAGUCUCUGGCACGGUUCUGACGCUAAAGCGCGAAAGCUAGGGGAGCAAACGGG